rnacentral:rRNA from 1 species
UAAGGAAUAUUGCGCAAUGGGCGAAAGCCUGACGCAGCAACGCCGCGUGCGGGAUGAAGGCCCUCGGGUUGUAAACCGCUUUCAGUAGGGAAGAAAAUGACGGUACCUACAGAAGAAGCCCCGGCCAACUACGUGCCAGCAGCCGCGGUAACACGUAGGGGGCGAGCGUUGUCCGGAUUUAUUGGGCGUAAAGAGCUCGUAGGCGGUUUCGUAAGUCGGAUGUGAAAACUCCAGGCUCAACUUGGAGACGCCAUUCGAUACUGCGAUGACUUGAGUCCGGUAGGGGAGUGUGGAAUUCCUGGUGUAGCGGUGAAAUGCGCAGAUAUCAGGAGGAACACCGGCGGCGAAGGCGGCACUCUGGGCCGGUACUGACGCUGAGGAGCGAAAGCGUGGGUAGCAAACAGGAUUAGAUACCCUGGUAGUCCACGCCGUAAACGGUGGGCACUAGGUGUGGGAUUCACUCAACGGAUUCCGUGCCGCAGCUAACGCAUUAAGUG